ensembl:lncRNA
AGAUGUCAUAGAGCAAGUGGACUUUAUAGGCAGUGUAGCAAGGGCAGAAGAUAAAUCCCAAGGUGCAUGGGGCAGGCUGCAUCUGUAGGAAGAGAUCCAGGCUGCAGGAGGCAAAGCUGGGAGACGAACAGCCCUGGGGAUGGCUUGGAGCAAACCUUGCACUACAUUUCUGUUUGCAGAUCCAUUCCUGACACACUCUGUGCACAGUGUUUUAAGGGGAUAAACUGAAAACUGCCAUCCCUCCACGUAAAUAAAGGGAAUUGUCAUAAAGCUAACAGAUCCCGCUCUUAAGUAGCUCUCAAGAAUAUGAAGUGAGAAUGAGGUGCCUAAGAAAAUAACUUUCCUGCUGCUUGGGAAAAACACUCUUAGGACAAUAACUUUAUAGCUGUGAUUGAUACAGGCUUUGAAAGAAAGCAGGGGUCUGAAAGACUCUGUGUAUUGUCUGAACAAGGAGAACAAAGACAUCAAAAUAAAACAGGUUUUUUUUUAAGGUCUGUUCCUUACCUUCAAUUAUCAGCUUAAGGCGAAGUUGCUGGAAUGGUUACAGGCAGCCAGUUGCUUUGUGGGAAUCUGAUAUGCACCUGGCAAGCACAGGGAGCAGUGCGCCGUUGCUUGUAGUGUUCUGCCCACCCAAGGGACCAUCGUCGCAGGUCAAGUUCUUUGUGGGUUUCCAGAAACAGUUCAGGUGCCACUCUCUGGCUGCCCCAGCACUGCCAAAGGUGACGUGAACUUUUUUUUUAAAUACCUCCACAGAGAAUUUUUACGGCUGCACUGAGCUCCAAAGGUUGGAGCAGAGAAAUAUGAACCCAUGACCUCCGCAGCUGAAACCCUGGGACUCCACAGGAGCUCUGCAGUUUGUUUACUCUGAGGCAGGAUUUGCUGCCAGGUUUGAACCCCCAAGACUUCUUACUGCUGCACCUUGACGGUCUCCCUGUUGGACACACUGCAUUCUAUUCAUAUUUGACAACUGCUCCAUGCAGAAUAACUAGGUGUGAUCGUGGAGUCCAGCAAUGGAAAUCAUUUACCUGUUGGGUAAUGGUCUCAUUUUUCUGCAGAAUCCAGACCACUGGCUUUACUGAAGUUAUGAUGGACAGAGAACGAGGAAGCUCGCUUUGUGAAGAAAUCUAAUGGCCGCUGUUCCCUCUUCAUGUCACUUCACUGACUUCUGGGCAACCGCAGCAGCACUGAAGCCCACUCCAAUGGGAGUCUUCUAAGCAGUGUAAAAUACAACACCUGGACAUUAUGAUGGAAGAUCAAUGACCUGUUGCAGAUUAUGCCGGCUACUGUGAUCCCAAUGGCUUUCCUGUGCUCAUCCUCACUGUGACUGGCUGGAAAUGUCAGCAAACCACAUGGAACGGUUGCAAAUCACUCUGUCCUCAAAGACCGAGAACAACUGCAGCUUGUAAAAUGCAACAAUAAGGACACCAUUGGUAUCUGUUCCAGCUCGUUCAUAUGUCAACAACGACAUCACACAGGAAGGUGUCCUGAACACCUAGCAAAAGGUUUCCAUAUAGUUUUGGGGAGGAAUGUGGCUUUUCAGAAAACUGUGAGUUCACGUUCAUCUGGACCCUGUCACUGCCGAGGAUGUGGGAAGUUUAAAACCUGCUGCGUACAGAUAAGGGAGACAUUACAGUGUGCUCUAUUACUUACUGACCUGCCUGGAAAUCCCUCAGCAAAAGAAAUGAAGUUGUGCCCUGCUACCCUCAUACACCCAAUUUGUGUGUGGCCCAGUUUCUGACUACUCAUAAAGUAGCCUCUGUUUUAGAGGAUCCAACUUCUCAGUCUCUCCAUGGGCAAAGCCAGGAUUUUUUUGGGUUUGCGCCUGCUGCUGUCUUUGGGAUCUGCCUUACUGCUCCUUCUUGAAUUAGAAAGUAUGCACUACUGGCAGCUAGAAGCACAGUCUCCUCUCUCCACAUAAGGCCAAAGACUCAUUUCUUCUCUUCUAGUUUAAAUAAAG